rnacentral:rRNA from 1 species
AUGAUUCCCAUGGUGAUCCUGGCGGCGGCCGCGGCCGUGUGCGCCCACUUCUGGUCGCCGGUGGCGAUGAUGCACGCGCCGGGAGCCGCCGGACGGUUGAUCUGCCGGGCGGCGUUUGAAGCUUUCCCGGAGUUCUACUGCUGCCUGCUCCGCACGUUUGGACCCGCCGAGGCCGCGUUCGUGUUCCGCCACCUCCCCGGGUGGCUCAUCCGGCUCUUGGCUUCCCAUUUCGGCAUGUGCGACGACUGUCUGCUGGUCGAUGUGAUUUGA